UAUAUAUAUAUAUAUAUACACACACACACACACACACACACACACACACACAUAUAUUCUUUUCCAGAUCCUUUUCCAUUAUAGGUUAUUACAAGAUAUUGAAUACAGUUUCCUGUGCUAUAUAGUAGAUCCUUAUUGUUUAUCUAUUUUAUAUAUAGUAUUGUUUAUAUGUUAAUCACAAACUUCUAAUUAUCUCCCCCCUUUCCCUUUGAUAACCAUGUUUGUGUUCUAUGUCUGUGAGUCUAUUUCUAUUUCAUAAAUAAGUUCAUUUGUAUCAUUUUUUUUAGAUUCCACAUAUAAAUGAUAUCAUAUGUUUGUCUUUCUCUGUCUGACUUACUUCACUUAGUAUGAUACUCUCUAGGUCCAUCCAUGUUGCUGCAAAUGGCAUUAUUUCAUUCCUUUUUACGGCUGAGUAAUAUUCCAUUGUAUAUUUAUAUAUCACACCUUCUUUAUACGUUCAUCUGUUGAUGGAUAUUUAGGUUGCUUCCAUGUCUUGGCUAGUGUAAAUAGUGCUGCUGUGAACAUUGGGGUACAUGUAUCUUUUCAAAUUAGAGUUUUUCUCUGGAUAUAUGCCCAGGAGUGGGAUUGCUGGAUCAUACGGCAACUCCAUUUUCAGUUUUUUAAGGAAUCUCCAUACUGUUCCGUGUAAGUUCCAUCCUCAUCCUUCAUUACUAAGAAUGGUAACAAGUCACCUGCAUUACUAACCUAGUCUGCACCUCUCAGGGUACCAGCAGGUGGUGCCUAACCUAAUCAAAACUCAUAUUUAGAUGCUAGAAAAUAAGUUUCCUGUUGCACCAGGCCCAGAGCAUUCUAUUACAAGAUAUGCUGAGUGUCUACCCCACAUCCACUCCUGGGCCAAGCACUGUGGGAGACAUGAAAGAAAUAGAAAGCGUUGGACACAGGCAGAUUGUUGCAGAAAAGAGUAGUUGCAGAGAAUAGCUGGGAAGCUGUUUCUGCUAUUCAGGAAGGAGAUGGUAAAGGCCUGGACUAGGCAGCGCUGGCAAAAGCAGGAGAGAAGCAGCAGUUAGGGCGUCACCAAAGAAAGCAUAAAUCAGGCUGAGCAUCACUGCAGAGUGCAAAGAGCACGGGCUGGGUCUGAUCUCUACCUCACAGCUGCGUGGCCCCAAAUCGUUCUGAACCUCAGUUUUUCACCUGUGAAAUUAGAACAGUAACACCGUCCCCACCUCACUGGAUUAUUGAGAAGAACCAUGAGUUAGCAUCCAGCCCCUGGUCUAUCUCAUCGUGAGUUCAACGUGAUGGUGGGAUAGUCAUGCUGAUGGCUGGAAACCCAAGGGCUGAGAGCUGGCAACGGAGGACAGGAAGGCAGGAGUCCUGAGCUGGGAGAGGCCGGGGUCGUUCAGGCCACACGUGACUCUGAAUUCCUAGAAGAGGCUGCAGCAGCCGUGGCUAAGGUGAGCAAGCAAACCUGGGACUGCUGGGCUCAGGAAUGAAGGCCCUAAGGAUGAAGCUGACACAUCCCUGACCAGACCACGUGGAACCCAUGGAAAAUUAGACCUGAAGUUAACAGCACCCACGCCAGUCUCCUGGCUGCUUGGUUAGAGAUUUUCAUCCAUUUUUGAGUUGACAAGAGCAGGGAGACUGGUGUCAGAACCCACUGCUUCUGCUUCACUGUACAUCAGAGUGUGUCUGUGGGUCCCCUGGAUGGUUAAGUUCAUGGAAAUAAGUGUAUUUUAUUCGACUAUGUAUAUCAAACAGGUUUCCUGCUGAGCUAGAGCCAAAGACAAACAGAAAAAUCAUUCUAUUCACAUUUACUGAGUUCCUCCCAGAGGCCAAGGGCCUGACAGGCACAAGGCUCUCUGUGUUUGUAGAACUGGCAUUGAAGGAGGUCAUGGGAAACUGAGAGAGAGAAAGAAGUGACCAGACCAUCUGCCAGGAGCUUCUGGUGAUAAGCUGUCUGGCACGAGGCUGAAUCUUUUUUUUUUUUUUUUUAACUUUUUGGCCAUACCGCGGGGCACGUGGGAUCUUAGUUCCUGGACAGGGACCGAACCUGCGCCCCCUACAGUGGAAGGGCAGAGUCUUAACUGCUGGACCGCCAGGGAAGUCCCAAGGCUGGAUCUUGAUUACACCACUGGUCUCAGAGCUGCAGAACGUUCCAUCAUGUGUGUGGAUAUAUUUAGUAGUAGUUUAUUCAACCAGUUUCCUAUUCAUGGCCACUAGGGUUGUAACUAGUCCUUUGCUGUUACAAGAGUGCAGCAGUGAACACACCUGUGCACGUUUUUCAUAUUUUGCCAGCAUGUCUUCGGGAGAGACUCCUAGGGUACUCCCCUGCUGCGGCCCCAUCCCCACGACUGUUCUGGUGCCCUCAGCCUGGGCAUGGGAUGCUGGAAUGCUAACUCCAGCCUCCACACCUCCUUUCCAUUCGAUUGAUUGGCCAGGCCGGUAGAAACAGCAACAGGAAGGCGGUCUCCCUUCAUUUUUGUCCGCCAGUCUCAUACCACAGCAUCUUACUGGGGGGAACGUGAUUCAUAACCAGAACUCUAGCUGGAAAGGAAUCUGAGAAGGGCAGUUUUCCGCUUUCUUGUCUCUACCGCACAGGACCGCUCGAAGAAGUGGGUUGGGUGCCAGUCACCACAUCCAGCUCCCCACUUAACUCCUUUGUUUCACAGAAGAGGAAACUGAGGUUUGGGAGGGGUGUGUUAUUAGCUGAAGAUCACUAAACUGGUUCGUGGCUAACAGCCCGGCCAUUUCCUCCUCACUUCCCUGCCGAUGGGAGUCCUUGUGAGUUGGAGUUUCACUGAAUCAAAUAACUUAAAAAGGCAGAAGCCACUCCAUACGCUAUGAACUUGUACUUUUCUUUGUAAAACAAAACAACCGUUCCCCAAGCCUCCUUUUGGAGGUAUUAUAAUCAUUUAGCAACUGUUAUGGUUUGACCUGUGUCCCCCUAAAUUUAUAUGUUGAAGUCCUAACCCCCAGUUCCUUAGAAUGUGACCAACCAGUUUGGAAACCGGGUCUUUAAAGAGGUAAUUAAGUUAAAAUGAGGUCUUUAGGAUGGGCCCUAGUCCAACACAACUAGUGUCCUUAUAAAAAGAGAUCUGGCCACUGACAGGCAGAGGAAGAUGAUGUGAAGACACAGGGAGAAGGCGGUUGUCUGCAAGGCAAGGAGAGAGGCCUCAGAGGAAACCAACCCUGCCCACACCUUGACCUUGGACUUCUAGCCUCCAUUAUAGUGAGAAAAUAAAUUUCUGUUGUUU